rnacentral:tRNA from 1 species
GAAAAUUUAGCUUAAGAUAAAGUUUUAGAUUUUUGAUCUGAGGAUACUGUAUGUAGUUUUUA